CUCCACUCACCUGUGAUCCAUCUACUCCUGAUUAGCCGCCUCAUAUACGCUCCGGUCUUCUCCCCACAUGCUGCUAGAUUGUGACCAUUCCUCAAGUGUGCCUCACCUCUUGCUGCCCAGCCUCAGCCACAUCCAACGCAUCUCAACCGCCUCAACCUAGCCAGCUUUGACACUUUCAUCCACACCUCUACUAUCCAGCCUCUGGGCCUAGUUCUCCUCCAAACCCUAAAUCAUGGAUGCUGCAUCCUCCACUCUAAAGAAGGGAGGGACCACCUGGCUUUUUAUCGGCGCACAUUUUGAAAGUGAGCAUCCGUGGUGGUAUGAUGAUGCAUAAGUGCCGAUUGCACACUUUUUAGAACAACAUAUGCUGCCAUUCAGACAAUGCCUUCUUCAGGGAUGACCCAGAAGAUGCUAAACUACAUUCUAUAUGCAGCAUGGCUACGUAGCAGAAGAGUCUUGGUGCUAAACUAGCCUGCCUGCAGCCCUGACUUGUCAUUUGAAAACAUUUAGUGCAUCAAACAAUGAAAAUAUGACAAGUGAGACCCCAAGCUGUGAGACAGCUAAUAUCCUCUUUCAGGCGAAAAUGGGACAAUCUUGCACUUUUCAAACUCCAUAAACUUGUCUCCUUUGUUCCCAAAUGUUUACAAAGUGUUGCUAAAAGAAGAGGUGAUGCAACACAAAGUUAACAUGCUCCUGUCUCAACUUUUUAGAAAUGUGUUGCUGAAAUAGAAUUUAGAAUAAACAUAUAUUUUUCAUAAAACUAUAAAAA